GAUGAACGCUAGCUACAGGCUUAACACAUGCCAGUCGCAGGGUAACAUGAGGAAAGCUUGCUUUCCUUGAUGACGACUGGCGCACGGGUGAGUAACGCGUAUCCAACCUUCCCAUAACUACGGGAUAACCCGUUGAAAGACGGCCUAAUACCGUAUGAUAUCGUUUGCUGACAUCAAAUAACGAUUAAAGGUUUAGCGGUUAUGGAUGGGGAUGCGUCUGAUUAGCUUGUUGGCGGGGUAACGGCCCACCAAGGCGACGAUCAGUAGGGGUUCUGAGAGGAAGGUCCCCCACAUUGGAACUGAGACACGGUCCAAACUCCUACGGGAGGCAGCAGUGAGGAAGAUUGGUCAAUGGGCGAGAGCCUGAACCAGCCAAGUAGCGUGCAGGACGACGGCCCUAUGGGUUGUAAACUGCUUUUAUGUGGGGAUAAAGUGCGUGACGUGUCAUGCAUUGCAGGUACCACAUGAAUAAGGACCGGCUAAUUCCGUG
rnacentral:rRNA from 1 species